GAUGAACGCUGGCAGCGUGCCUAAUACAUGCAAGUCGAGCGAACAGACGAGGAGCUUGCUCCUCUGACGUUAGCGGCGGACGGGUGAGUAACACGUGGAUAACCUACCUAUAAGACUGGGAUAACUUCGGGAAACCGGAGCUAAUACCGGAUAAUAUAUUGAACCGCAUGGUUCAAUAGUGAAAGACGGUUUUGCUUUCACUUAUAGAUGGAUCCGCGCCGCAUUAGCUAGUUGGUAAGGUAACGGCUUACCAAGGCAACGAUGCGUAGCCGACCUGAGAGGGUGAUCGGCCACACUGGAACUGAGACACGGUCCAGACUCCGACGGGAGGAAGCAGUAGGGAAUCUUCCGCAAUGGGCGAAAGCCUGACGGAGCAACGCCGCGUGAGUGAUGAAGGUCUUCGGAUCGUAAAACUCUGUUAUUAGGGAAGAACAAAUGUGUAAGUAACUAUGCACGUCUUGACGGUACCUAAUCAGAAAGCCACGGCUAACUACGUG
rnacentral:rRNA from 1 species